rfam:Triticum aestivum genome assembly, contig: Triticum_aestivum_CS42_TGACv1_scaffold_221073_3B
AAAGUACUCCCUCCGUCCCAAAAUUCUUGUCUUAGAUUUUUCUAUAUACAGAUGUAUCAAGUCACAUUUUAGUAUUAGAUACAUCUGUAUCUAGACAAAUCUAAGACAAGAAUUUUGGGGCGGAGGGAGUAGUUG